AUUGAACGCUGGCGGCAGGCCUAACACAUGCAAGUCGAGCGGAGCGGCUGACGGGUGAGUAAUGACUAGGAAUCUGCCUGGUCGUGGGGGAUAACGUCAGGAAACGGGCGCUAAUACCGCAUCCUAUCAGCUUCGCUUAGGUCGGAUUAGCUAGUUGGUGGGGUAAUGGCUUACAAGGGCGACGAUCCGUAACUGGCCUGAUAGGAUGAUCAGUCACACUGGAACUGAGACACGGUCCAGACGCCUACGGGAGGCAGCAGUGGGGAAUAUUGGAAAAUGGGCGAAAGCCUGACCAAGCCAGGCGGCGGGGGUGAAGAAGGUCUCCGGAUUGUAAAGCACUUUAAGUGGGGAGGCGUUAACAACAGAAUAAGCACCGGCUAACUUCGUGCCAGCAGCCGCGGUAAUUC
rnacentral:rRNA from 1 species